GAUGAACGCUGGCGGCGUGCCUAAUACAUGCAAGUCGAGCGAACAGACGAGGAGCUUGCUCCUCUGACGUUAGCGGCGGACGGGUGAGUAACACGUGGAUAACCUACCUAUAAGACUGGGAUAACUUCGGGAAACCGGAGCUAAUACCGGAUAAUAUAUUGAACCGCAUGGUUCAAUAGUGAAAGACGGUUUUGCUGUCACUUAUAGAUGGAUCCGCGCCGCAUUAGCUAGUUGGUAAGGUAACGGCUUACCAAGGCAACGAUGCGUAGCCGACCUGAGAGGGUGAUCGGCCAAACUGGAAAUGAGACACGGUCCAGAAGCCUACGGGAGGCAGCAGGAGGGAAUCUUCCGCAAUGGGCGAAAGCCUGACGGAGCAACGCCGGGUGAGUGAUGAAGGGCUUCGGAUCGUAAAACGCUGUUAUUAGGGAAGAACAAAUGUGUAAGUAACUAUGCACGUCUUGACGGUACCGAAGCAGAAAGCCACGGCUAACUACGU
rnacentral:rRNA from 1 species